rnacentral:rRNA from 1 species
AGAGUUUGAUCCUGGCUCAGAAUGAACGCUGGCGGCGUGCUUUACACAUGCAAGUCGAGCGAGGCGGCCCGCAAGGGUCAGUCGAGCGGCGGACGGGUGAGUAACGCGUGGAUAACCUGCCCUGAGGUGGGGAACAACCAGGGGAAACUCUGGCUAAUACCGCAUGAUACCGAAAGGUCAAAGGGGGGCCGCAAGGUCUCUCGCCGCAGGAGGGGUCCGCGUCCGAUUAGCUAGUUGGUAGGGUAAUGGCCUACCAAGGCGACGAUCGGUAGCCGGCCUGAGAGGGUGAUCGGCCACACUGGAACUGAGACACGGUCCAGACUCCUACGGGAGGCAGCAGUGGGGAAUUUUGCGCAAUGGGCUAACGCCUGACGCAGCAACGCCGCGUGGAGGAUGAAGGUCUUUGGAUUGUAAACUCCUGUCAGCGGGGAAAAAGCGACCGGUGCUCAUACCAUCGGGAGUUGAUUGUACCCGCAGAGGAAGCCCCGGCUAACUCUGUGCCAGCAGCCGCGGUAAUACAGAGGGGGCAAGCGUUAUUCGGAAUUAUUGGGCGUAAAGGGCGCGUAGGCGGCUUGGCAAGUGGAAGGUGAAAUCCCUCGGCUUAACCGAGGAACUGCCCUCCAAACUGCUUUGCUUGAGGCCGGGAGAGGCGAGUGGAAUUCCCAGUGUAGCGGUGAAAUGCGUAGAUAUUGGGAGGAACACCAGUGGCGAAGGCGGCUCGCUGGACCGGUUCUGACGCUGAGGCGCGAAAGCGUGGGGAGCAAACGGGAUUAGAUACCCUAGUAGUCC